UACGUAGGGUGCGAGCGUUGUCCGGAAUUAUUGGGCGUAAAGAGCUCGUAGGCGGUCUGUCACGUCGGAAGUGAAACCCGGGCUUAACCCCGGGCUUGCUUUCGAUACGGGCAGACUAGAGUGUGGUAGGGGAGACUGGAAUUCCUGGUGUAGCGGUGAAAUGCGCAGAUAUCAGGAAGAACACCGGUGGCGAAGGCGGCUCUCUGGGCCUUACCUGACGCUGAGGAGCGAAAGCGUGGGUAGCGAACAGG
rnacentral:rRNA from 1 species